AGAGUUUGAUCCUGGCUCAGGACGAACGUUAGCGGCGCGCCUAACACAUGCAAGUCGCACGAGAAAGGGCUUCGGCCCCGGUAAAGUGGCGCACGGGUGAGUAACACGUGGGUAAUCUGCCUCGAGCGGGGGAUAACAUUCCGAAAGGAGUGCUAAUACCGCAUAAGACCACGACCUCGAAAGAGGGUGCGGUCAAAGCU
rnacentral:rRNA from 1 species